UACGAAGGGGGCUAGCGUUGUUCGGAAUCACUGGGCGUAAAGGGCGCGCAGGCGGCCAUUCAAGUCAGAUGUGAAAGCCCCGGGCUCAACCUGGGAGGUGCAUUUGGGACUGGAUGGCUUGAGAUCGGGAGAGGAGAGUGGAACUGCGAGUGUAGAGGUGAAAUUCGUAGAUAUUCGCAAGAACACCAGUGGCGAAGGCGGCUUACUGGUCCGGAUCUGACGCUGAGGCGCGAAAGCGUGGGGAGCAAACAGG
rnacentral:rRNA from 1 species